rnacentral:rRNA from 1 species
GAUGAACGCUGGCGGCGUGCCUAAUACAUGCAAGUCGAGCGAACAGACGAGGCGCUUGCUCCUCUGACGUUAGCGGCGGACGGGUGAGUCACACGUGGAUACCCUCCCUAUCAGACUGGGAUAACUUCGAGACACCGGCGCUAAUACCGGAUAAUCUAUUGAACCGCAUGGUUCAAUAGUAAGAUACGGUUUUUCUGUCUCUUCUCGCUGGAUCCGCGCCGCAUUAGCUAGUUGGUAAGGUAACGGCUUUCCAAGGCGACGAUGCGUAAGCGACCUGAGAGGGUGAUAGGCCACCUUGGAAGGGGGACACGGUCCAGACUACUAAGGGAGGGAGCAGAAGGGAAUGUGCCGCAACGGGCGAAAGCAUGACGGAGCAAGGGCGCGUGAGUGAUGAAGGCCUUCGGAUCGUAAAACUCUGUUAUUAGGGAAGAACAAAUGUGUAAGUAACUAUGGACGGCUUGACGGUACCGAAUCAGAAAGCCACGGCUAACUACGUG